rnacentral:lncRNA from 1 species
AUGGAUGAGUUGAACAGCAUGAACUAUGAUACACGGACACGGAUAUUAAAGAAACGCGGUCACCCCACGGUCCAUCAGCAGGUGGGUGGACUGGCCCCCAGGAGUCCUUUGGCCUUAUGGUGGGGCAUGAGCCACCCUCCUGACAGCAAGAGUCACUUAGGUAACCAGGCUGAGCCUGGUGGGAAUGCGACUUUUCCACCAGGCAGCAAGGGGCUCAGAGGAAAGGUCAGCAUCCUCUGGGGGCUAGGCCGGAGUGGCCGAAAGAAGGAGAUGAAACCUGUUUCAAGGAAACGCAAAUUCCCACCACCAAAAAGGCAAAUCCCAGGCACACAGGGCUGAGAGAGGGAGAGACUGCCAACCAGCCCAGCCUGGACAAACUGACCCACAACUAGAGAAACAGAAACACGAGCCAAGAAGCCUGCUCAGAGCCUUGUCACGUGGCCUUAGCUGGAAUGAAGACUGGGAAUGGCGGAGGCGGGGGAGAAGAAUGUGUCCCUCCGUGUCCCUCUGUCCUUCCACUGGGCUUGACAAGAGAGAAAGGAAAGCUGAAUUCUCAUAGGCGCUUGCUGAAGAAACUAAACUCCCAUCCACCCUUGCAGCCUAACUCCCCAUGGACCAAAAGCUAGAUGGGUGGGUGUCAAUCAUGACUGCACAUCAGUUUUAACAUUUGUAUUUCAGCCAAGAGAACUGGAAUUUGGGGGAUGGUGGGAGAGAGGAGGAGGAUCUAGGCAUCCAUAUGUUCCAGAUGCGAUUCUGGGGGUGGAGGACCAGGGGACAGUGCUCCUCCACGCUGUGUGUGCCCCUGUCUCACCUGGAUCUAGUUAACAAUGAAGAUUCUGAGUUGCAGAUCUGUGCUGAAGUCUGAGCUAUACACUUCACCAAGGUCCAAAGAGAUGUCUGUGCCGACGAUCCUGGUCACUCUUUGAGUCCCAAGAAGCUACAGCCUUUCCCAAGAGGCUCUUGAAAAGAUGUUCAACAUCAUUAAUUACUAGAGAAAAGCAAAUCAAAACUGUAACAAGAUACCACCUUACACCAGUCAGAAUAGCUAUCAUCAAAAAGCCCACAAACAGUAAAUUCUGGAGAGGGUGUAGGGAAAAGGGAACCCCCCUACACUGUUGGUA